GGGGAUAUGGCGAAAUUGGUAGACGCUACGGACUAAAAUCCGUCGACUUUAAAAAUCGUGAGGGUUCAAGUCCCUCUAUCCCCA
rnacentral:tRNA from 13 species